rnacentral:rRNA from 1 species
UGCAGAAUCCCGUGAACCAUCGAGUCUUUGAACGCAAGUUGCGCCCGAAGCCAUCAGGUUGAGGGCACGUCUGCCUGGGCGUCACAUAUCGUUGCCCGAUGCCUAUUGCAGUGCAAUAGGAAUUUCUAGGGCGAAUGAUGGCUUCCCGUGAGCGUUGUUGCCUCGCGGUUGGUUGAAAAUCGAGUCCUUGGUAGGGUGUGCCAUGAUAGAUGGUGGUCGAGUUAGCACGAUACCGAUCAUGUGCAUGCCCCCCAAAAUAUGGCCUCUAUGACCCACACGCGUCUUUUGACGCUCAUGACGAGACCUCAGGUCAGGCGGGGCUACCCGCUGAAUUUAAGCAUAUCAAUAAGCGGAGGAAAAGAAACUAACAAGGAUUCCCUUAGUAACGGCGAGCGAACCGGGAAGAGCCCACCAUGAGAAUCGGCCGCCCUCGGCGUUCGA